rnacentral:rRNA from 1 species
GACAGAGGGUGCAAACGUUGUUCGGAAUUACUGGGCGUAAAGCGCGUGUAGGCGGUUUGGUAAGUCGGAUGUGAAAGCCCCGGGCUCAACCCGGGAAGUGCACUCGAUACUGCCAAGCUAGAGUAUCGGAGAGGUUGGUGGAAUUCUCGGUGUAGAGGUGAAAUUCGUAGAUACCACCCAGAACUCCGAUUGCGAAGGCAGCCUACUGGAGGUCAACCGACGCUCAGGCACGAAAGCGUGGGGAGCGAACAGG